rnacentral:tRNA from 1 species
GGUGGCGUAGCUCAGUCGGUUAGAGCAUGGGAUUCAUAAACCCAAGGUCACUGGUUCGAUUCCAGUCGCCACCACCA